AAAAACUCGUCAGGGCAUUUUGGUAAUUUGGCUUGGCCUUGGGUUUUAAGUCCACUGGAUCCAAAAUGUCGCGUGUCUGAUGUCUCGACAUCGAUCGAUGGUACUUGUAUACAUCGAUCGAUAUUAAUCUUCAUCUGUCGAGGCAUCUCUUGGUGUCGAUCGAUAGCACUGGAUGCACAUUGAUCGAUUGUUCUUCCUCUCGUCGACCUCUACAUGGUCAGCUCGG
rnacentral:lncRNA from 1 species